GACGAACGCUGGCGGCGUGCUUAACACAUGCAAGUCGAGCGGAAAGGCCACUUCGGUGGUACUCGAGCGGCGAACGGGUGAGUAACACGUGAGUAAUCUGCCCCCCACUUUGGGAUAGCCACCGGAAACGGUGAUUAAUACCGGAUAUGACCUGUGACCGCAUGGUUGUGGGUGGAAAGUUUUUCGGUGGGGGAUGUGCUCGCGGCCUAUCAGCUUGAUGGUGGGGUAAUGGCCUACCAUGGCUUCGACGGGUAGCCGGCCUGAGAGGGUGACCGGCCACACUGGGACUGAGACACGGCCCAGACUCCUACGGGAGGCAG
rnacentral:rRNA from 1 species